UACGAAGGGUGCAAGCGUUACUCGGAAUUACUGGGCGUAAAGCGUGCGUAGGUGGUUUGUUAAGUCUGUUGUGAAAGCCCCGGGCUCAACCUGGGAAUGGCAAUGGAUACUGGCAAGCUAGAGUGCGGUAGAGGGUAGUGGAAUUCCCGGUGUAGCGGUGAAAUGCGUAGAGAUCCGGAGGAACACCAGCGGCGAAGGCGGCAUCCUGGACUGGUCCUGACACUCAGGAGCGAAAGCGUGGGGAGCGAUCCGG
rnacentral:rRNA from 1 species